UCCGGUUUGUCACCGGCAGUCCCAUUAGAGUGCUCAACUAAAUGUAGCAACUAAUGGCAAGGGUUGCGCUCGUUGCGGGACUUAACCCAACAUCUCACGACACGAGCUGACGACGGCCAUGCAGCACCCGUGUUCUGGUUCUCUUUCGAGCACUCCCGAAUCUCUUCAGGAUUCCAGACAUGUCAAGGGUAGGUAAGGUUUUUCGCGUUGCAUCGAAUUAAACCACAUCAUCCGCCGCUUGUGCGGGUCCCCGUCAAUUCCUUUGAGUUUUAACCUUGCGGCCGUACUCCCCAGGCGGUCAACUUCACGCGUUAGCUACGGUACUGAGAAAUCGCUUCCCCAACACCCAGUUGACAUCGUUUAGGGCGUGGACUAC
rnacentral:misc_RNA from 1 species